GACUAUCAAAAAUGGAUAUAUCGCCUCUCGCAUUAAAAAAGAACAUAGUGAAAUGCGAUACUUGGUGUGAAUUGUAGAAUCCCGUGAACAAUUGAGUCUUUUAACGCAAGUUGUGCCCAAAGACAUUAGAUAGAGGGCAGGUCUGCCUGGGCGUCA
rnacentral:rRNA from 1 species